ACGAACGCUGGCGGCAUGCCUAACACAUGCCAGUCGAACGAGACCUUCGGGUCUAGUGGCGCACGGGUGCGUAACGCGUGGGAACCUGCCCUUAGGUUCGGAAUAACUCCCCGAAAGGGGUGCUAAUACCGGAUAAUGUCUUCGGACCAAAGAUUUAUCGCCUUUGGAUGGGCCCGCGUUGGAUUAGCUAGUUGGUAGGGUAAAAACCUACCAAGGCGACGAUCCAUAGCUGGUCUGAGAGGAUGAUCAGCCACACUGGGACUGAGACACGGCCCAGACUCCUACGGGAGGCAGCAGUGGGGAAUAUUGGACAAUGGGCGAAAGCCUGAUCCAGCAAUGCCGCGUGAGUGAUGAAGGCCUUAGGGUUGUAAAGCUCUUUUACCCGGGAUGAUAAUGACAGUACCGGGAGAAUAAGCUCCGGCUAACUCCGU
rnacentral:rRNA from 1 species